GCACAAAUACAAUAUACCCUAUUUACCCUUCGAGUACUGGGUAUAAAAAGGACGGAGAGCACGGAAGCAGUCCAGGCUUCCAUUUAAUGCAGCGGAUACAUGAUCGGACUGUCUGACUGCAUACCUCCUGCUCGUGAGAAUGCAGGUGAUGGACAUACAUAUAUAGCAUACAAAGCUACGCACGUAUUACGAGCGCUUUGUCAAAAGCAACGGAAACUUGGCAUCGUAUGAUAUAGGAGCUCAAGUUUUAGCUUUACACCAGUGUCUUAAUGGGUGAAUGGGUUCAACCUCUGAAGACUAGGACCAACUCUAGAUCCUCUUACAUGUUCUUUUCAAAUGUAAUACUUGGUCUCUUACAUGUUCUUAUAAAUCGGAACAUAUAACACAACACUUUAAUAGCCUUUUCACACUGGGCACCAUCAACCAUCCAUUUCUGGGAUGGUCCGAAAAUGUUCCAGUUAUUACAGUUCCUAAUUUGCACGCGAUAUUUAUUCGGCUAUUUUCAAAUACAACCAUAAAUAUUUGGCAUUCACAACGAAAAAAUUAUAUUCAUUGGGAAAUUGUAACAAUGACUGACAGAAGAAGAGGAAAACCAACAACAAAACACUUGUGGAGUAGAGCAGAGUGUAGCUGGAGCUUUCAACAAAAAAAAAAAAUAUAAAACGAGAAGAGACGUGUGAGACGCACAACGUCACAACUUUUAUACAGGCAGGGGGAGGGCAGAGGCAGGGGCCGAGUGAGGCAGAAGCAGAGUGUGAAUGAGAGAAUGUAAAAAGAACAACAAAAGCUGCGGGACAGGGUGGGUUUAGCCACUGGAUAUUAAUUUCUCCAUUGUUGCUAUAAUAAUGAUCCGAUCGGAUAAAAAUUUGGUGAUCUGAUAGAUAUGUACUGUAGGUUUCGGAGGUUUUUGCCCUUUUGCGGAGGCGGAAGGGGGCGGGGCUAAUUUUUGAAAUACACUGGUUUCAGUGUGAGCAUACAGCAGUCCGGAGCCAACAUUUGGUGGCGGUUGUAAGCAUAUAUUACAUUUUUUGUUGUUUCAAAAUAACAUUAAAUUUAUCAAUAUUGCAGAAAAGAAGAGAACAACAGGUGGCAGGGGGAAAUAGUCAUCGGAGAUGGAGAGCCUGCUGAUAGAUCUCUGGCAGGAGAAUAUUGAAGAUCUGCGUGGAGCCAUGAAGGAGGCUGGGCUCGCGAUUGGAUGGGGAGAUGUUCGAGUGAAAGUCGAAAAUUUGCAAACAAUACGGUGGAGUACCAGCCUUUAUAAUUGUGAUGGUAGACUGCCUCAGCUCCUGGUGGUUUUUUUUCGAUUUGACAUCCAUCUACAAUAAAGGGAAACCCAAUUUACAUAUGUGUGUGCAUAUCUAUAGAUGUAUAAUGAAUUGUUCUAUUGCUUUCUUACCAAUUGCACCUAGACACUGUGGAAAUCCAAUCUGUUCGAAUCCUUGGACACAUUCGUCAAGUCGUUUCACAUCUUUCAAAAAAAUCCAAAGUUCCCCUUGGAGGGACUCAGUGUGAAGAGCCUAUUCUGAAUUAAAUUCAAGUUGUUUCAGUUAUAAUAGUCUUUUCCGAUGUUAACUAUCGCAUUUUUAUUUGUCCAUUUCGAUGAAUUUAAAAAGGUGAGUACUUCUAGAAUCUAGAUCUCAAUUGGAAAAAUGUUUCCCAUAUGAUCUAGAGUUGAUGUUUGGAGUAUGCUGAGUUUUUUUAAUUCGUUGGCUGGUCAAAGCAGAUUACUAUGGGUUCCUAGCGGUAUUUAGCUUACACAUUCAUUUUGAUUAGAAAAAGAUUCGCCGUAAUAAAAUAUACAUUUUGCUUGGAGUUAAGAUGUACAUAUAUCUUCAAACUAUCUCUCUGUACUCUUGUUGCUUAUGCUUGACCAACAUCGUCAUUCUAUGCUUCUUCAUUCGCAUUUUCUGCUUGUUCUGCAAUGAUGUGGAAAAUGAAUAUCGUAAUUUCUAAAGUAACAUUUAUGUUGCGCAUACUCAGUUAUUUGCAAUAUGAAUGAGAAAGCGUUCUCAAGGUUAUGGAACUCUUCCAUGCGUGCUCAUAGAGAUAAAGUUUUGUUGAAUGUGAUACAUCGCAUAUUUAUAUACAUAUGUACAAUGUAUGACAUGUUCUUCGGUUCUUUAUAUUGUAUUAAACAAGCACAACGUUAAAAAACUAACUUAUCUGUCUCCUUUACGCUCAACAUAAGAUACUUCCGUUACAUCUACUAAGGCGUAUGAAAAAAACGAGAAGGGACGUGUGAGACGCUUCUUACGCGUCACAACUUUUAUACCCGGAACUCAGUACAACAUCUGCACCUUAACGAUGUUUUGUCAAAUUUUAAAUCUUUUCUUCAUCUGUCAUCUACAUCUACAACACUUCUCACACCAACACGCUCCGGUAGCUCGCCGCCCUUCCCUAGACCCUCACACUGCAGAAGGCAGAGGCACCGUCCGCACACAAAAAAAAAAAAAACAAAUAAAAGCUGCGGGACGGGGUGGGUUAAAAGUCGGCAGAGGCAUCGGCAGGGGGAGGGCAGAGGCAGGGGCCGAGUGAAGCAGAAGCAGAGUGUGAAUGAGAGAAUGUAAAAAGAACAACAAAAGCUGCGGGACAGGGUGGGUUUAGCCACUGCAAAUUAAUUUAUUCAUUGUGGCUAUAAUAAUGAUCCAAUCGGAUCCCAAUUUGGUGUUUUCUUUUAUCUUCAAACUGUAGGUUUAGGAGGUUUUCGUAUAUAUAUUCUUGAUCAAAAUCAAUAGCCGAGUCGAUAGAGCCAUGUCUGUCUGUCCGUCUUGUUUGUCGGCUAGUUCUCAGAGACUAUAAGAACUAGAGUUACCAAAAAAGGACCAAGUCCAGACAGCUGUAUGCUCACACUGAAACCAGUGUAUUUCAAAAAUUAGCCCCGCCCCCGAAAAAUAGCGAAAACCUCCCAAACCUACAAUUUUGAAGAUAAAAGAAAACUAAAAACGCCAUUCCAUAGGGAACGGCCAUAUCUAUCAGAUCACCAAAUUGGGAUCCGAAUUUUGGAUCAUUAUUAUAGCCACAAUGAAUAAAUUAAUUUUGUAGUUUAAAGAGCAUUGACAAAAACUGACUAACUAAAGAUGAAACUAUUACAAUUCAAAUGAAAAUGAUUUAAUAUAUUGCUUAGUUAAACAAGUACUAAGCGAAAUGCAAUUGUACGUUGGAGCGAUUCCAAUAAAAUUACUUUUAACCAAACAAUCAUUCAAUCAGUCAAUCAAAUAUAUUUUUUAAUGUUCUAAAAUGUUUUAAUGGAUCUUUUAUUAUAAUUAAUCGUUUAAAUACCUUUUUUUUAUAAUAAAUACGACGUAAAUGGGUUCCAUUUUUUAUGGGGGCGGGAGGUAGGCGGGGUCCAUUUGACUACAUUUUUUUCGAUAUUCAACUUUAGUCUAACUAACAUUCAUGCCAAUUUGUAGAGCUUUAGCUGUAUUUUUUUGAUUAAUGCCAAAAAAACGGGCUGUUUACCCAUGGAGCAGUGGUCUGGUCUGAAACUACUUCAAAGUAAACCGACACGCAAACAAAACAAAUCGCAUCGAAUUUUCAAUGUCGUUGAUAAAAAAAACUUUUACACCUGGUACUCAGUAGUAAGCUAAAUUUUACAUUUCAUAUUUGUCUAGCUCGCCCCUCUCCCCUUGCAUGGUAGAAUUACUAAUAGGUAACGUCAUCAGCUGAGUGGAGGAUCACCAGCUUAUUCACCACGCUCUCUCAACUCUCAGAGAGGCAAGCGCUAGAGAGAGAUAGCAAGCGUUUUACGUUUUGCAUUCUUCGUUUUUAUUGUUUCUGCUGACAGCAAAGAAAAGAUGUUCAAUAAAAAAUAAAACGAAAU
rnacentral:lncRNA from 1 species